UCACUCGAUCUUCGUAGAUAGAGCCAUUAGAGAUAUAGAGAGAGAGAGAGAGAGAGGUAGGUAGAAGACGACGGAGAUACAUAGAGAGAGAGCUCCGAAGACCGAAAUUAGGGUUCGGAGCUUUCUCUCUCUACAAAUUCGCUCCGCUUGGGUCUCCACAAUUUGAUUAAUUGAUCAGUCGUUUGUGCCAAUGCUUGUGGUUAUAUUCACAGAGAGAGGGAGAGAGAGUUUUUGGUUCCGAUAAACCACAGCCAAUUCCUCAUCACAGGACACUUCUUGCUGUUGUUCUUUUCGAGUUUCUGCAAGGGCACAGCCCAUUCGACCUAUCAUUCAAUAGGAGUGCGGUCCAAACAAGGAAGACAGUCAUUUGGGAUUUCCCGUUGCUCUUUGUUUACAACUGUGACGGCUGUGCUCUUAGCUCUACAACCCAGCAGUGUGCAUCUAGCUUAGCAAAAAAUUGUCAUUUUGUUUUUCAGAGAUAUCCCCUAUAAUCGUUGCGCAAGCCUGUUCGAUAUACAUUGUUCUCCCUCUGUCUCGAUCAGCAAGAUAGGGUUUCCGAUAUCCAGGGAGUCAUCAUCACCAAACCGCCAUGGCUGCUUCAGGAUCAAACGCUGCUACGGGUGAUCUUGUUGUCGAUAACUUAAUCUCAGGUUGUGGGAAGGUUUCAACCUUUGGGAAACCUGUUGGCGUUCAUUUCGACUAUAGGACUCUUCACAAUUGCCGAAAAGCCGGUGUUGGUUUGAAAAGUCACGAAGCAAUUAGCAGGCGCAGUGUUUUAGCAGGUUAUCAUGUUACUCGAAGGUCUGGCAGCUGUAGAUUACUUCUUGGUCCAAGCGUCAGUAACUCUUCCUCUCCAUGUUACUCUCAUGGUGCGGUGCCUGAUGUAUCAUUCCAUGGAUCGGUGUUUGAUGGACAACUUGCGGAUUCUGCAGUUUCAGCUGAUAAGAAUAUUCUAGUUGACACGACCUUGAAACUACAAUCAGGAUCUUGCUAUCUUCCACAUCCUGACAAGGAAAAAACAGGUGGAGAGGAUGCUCACUUUAUUUGUGAAGAUGAACAUGUAAUUGGUAUAGCAGAUGGGGUUGGUGGCUGGGCAGAUGUUGGAGUUAAUGCAGGGGUAUAUGCCCGUGAACUCAUGUCUAAUUCAUUUGCUGCAAUUCAAGAUGAACCCAAGGGUUCUAUUGAUCCAGCUAGGGUGUUGGAGAAAGCUCACUCAAUCACAAAAUCCAAGGGUUCCUCAACAGCCUGCAUAAUAGCCCUUACACACCAGCAGAGCCUGCACGCCGUUAAUCUUGGGGAUAGUGGAUUCAGUAUAGUCAGAGAGGGAUGCACCAUCUUCCAAUCUCCUGUGCAGCAGCAUGGCUUCAAUUUUCCUUAUCAAUUGGCAAGUGGCAGUGAAGGUGACCAGCCAAGUUGUGGUCAGGUUUUCACAGUAGCUGUUGUACCUGGAGAUAUUAUCAUAGCUGGCACAGAUGGGUUAUUUGACAAUUUGUUUAGCAAGGAGAUUGAUACCGUUGUAGGUGAUGGGAUGAGGGCAGGGCUGGAGCCCCGGGUAAUUGCUCAAACGAUUGCAGCUCUGGCACGCCAGAGGGCUUUGGACAGGAGCAGGCAAACUCCUUUCUCUUCUGCUGCUCAAGAUGCUGGGUUCCGUUAUUUUGGUGGCAAACUUGAUGACACUACUGUUGUCGUCUCUUUCAUCACUAGCUCGGCCACUAUUGGGCAGGUAGAAACUGAGAGCUGAUGGAUAAAUGUUGCUGCAUUUUCUCUCCUGCAACGCUUCUUCAAUUCCUUGGCAGCCAACAGGACAGAAACGUUUCCCUGUUCGUAGGAGAUCAACGGCCACCAAUUUACUGGUGCACGCCAAACAAGACAGGCCAAGCGAUCGGUGCCUGCUAUUCUUGGUGAAAGUGGUGCAUUUUUUUAAUGGCUUUUGAAUAAGAUAGGCAUUUUCUAAUUAUACAAGGCCGGCAACGUUUGAUUCUGUUGCACAUUGUAAAAUUAUCCUAUAAUGCUUAUCACCAGUUGGGUGUCGGAAAACCAUGUUAUGGUUAUACAGUUUGUAGGACAAUUCUUCACCUAUAUGAUUUCACAGCUACAUCUUUGUAACCA